rnacentral:rRNA from 1 species
AUUGAACGCUGGCGGCAGGCUUAACACAUGCAAGUCGAACGAGUGGCGGACGGGUGAGUACUGCUUGGGAAUCUAGCUUAUGGAGGGGACUCACUACGGGACACUGUAGCUAAUCCCGCGUACCAUAGGAUGAGCCCCAGUGGGAUUAGGUAGUUGGGGAGUUAAAGGCUCACCAAGCCGACCAUCCCUAGCUGGUCUGAGAGGAUGACCAGCCACACGGGGGCUAGGAAACGGCCGAGACUCCUACGGGAGGCAGCAGUGGGGAAUAUUGCGCAAUGGGGGCAACCUGACGCAGCCAUGCCGCGUGAAUGAAGAAGGCCUUCGGGUUGUAAAGUUCUUUCGGUAGCGAGGCGUUAACUACAGAAGAAGCACCGGCUAACUCCGUGCCAGCCGCCGCGGUAAUAC